rnacentral:rRNA from 1 species
UACGUAGGGCGCAAGCGUUGUCCGGAAUUAUUGGGCGUAAAGAGCUCGUAGGCGGCUUGUCACGUCGGGUGUGAAAGCUCGGGCUGAACCCGGUCCUGCAUUCGAUACGGGCUGGCUGGAGUGUGGUAGGGGAGAUCGAAUUCCUGGUGUAGCGGUGAAAUGCGCAGAUAUCAGGAGGAACACCGGUGGCGAAGGCGGAUCUCUGGGCCAUUACUGACGCUGAGGAGCGAAAGCGUGGGGAGCGAACAGG